rnacentral:sRNA from 1 species
GUGUUCCCAUCAAAGUCUUAUGUCUUCUAGUUAUCCAAGGAAUAGCUCCAGCCUGGGCAGCAUUCAUGUAUAUUUCAAGUUACACUGUCAAUAUGCAUCAGCCCUGAUCUGGAAAGGCCACCUCAAGAAGUGAGAGGGGAGUUCAUUCUCUUUACCCUUCUAAUCCUAGGUCUUG